GAUGAACGCUGGCGGCGUGCCUAACACAUGCAAGUCGAGCGGCAGCGAGGGGUGCUUGCACCCUGUCGGCGAGCGGCGGACGGCUGAGUAACGCGUGGGAACGUGCCCCAAAGUGAGGAAUAACUGCCCGAAAGGGUAGCUAAUACCGCAUAUUAUCUUCGGAUCAAAGGAUUUAUCCGCUUUGGGAGCGGCUCGCGUCGGAUUAGGUGGUUGGUGAGGUAAUGGCUCACCAAGCCGACGACCCGUAGCUGGUCUGAGAGGAUGACCAGCCAGACUGGAACUGAGACACGGUCCAGACUCCUACGGGGAGCAGCAGUGAGGAAUCUUCCACAAUGGGCGAAAGCCUAGUGGAGCAACGCCGCGUGCAGGACGAAGGCCUUCGGGUUGUAAACUGCUUUUAUAAGUGAGGAAUAUGACGGUAACUUAUGAAUAAGGAUCGGCUAACUACGUG
rnacentral:rRNA from 1 species